AAUGUUUCAAGUCUUUUCAGCUGUUUUUCUGUAUCAUAUCGGCUGAUAUUAAAGCUCAGAUAUCGGUAGUGAAAAAGUGGAUCGGUGCAUCGCUAGUAGAGGAACUCGAUAUUUUACUGUUUGACAUUGUGAAUAAAUAUGUAAAAAAAACAUAUUAUUUAUGAAGCAUUUUACAAAGAGCAGCUUUAAAGCCUUUUAAUGUAGAUUUCUAAUGUUUCUCUGUCUUCCUGUCAGCUGUUCUCCUGAAGUUUAUUGUUGUUUCAUCAUUACGUUCUUUGACCUUGACCUUCCUCUGAGGUUGUUCAACUUGUGUGACUUCUUGUUUACUGAACUCGGAGAACAGAGAGUUUCUGCCCUGCAGCAGCAGCGUUUCUUUCUGCUGCUCGGUUCUUGGAAACGCUUCGCUGAAGUGUGACCAAGUCCAUCAGAAACUCGACCUUCUCCGGUUCCUUUUCCCGCUAACGCACCAAGAGAGCGAUCCCAGACCAGACUGCAGCUCUCACUUUUCCCGGGAACGAAUGUGUGGCGGUGAUCCCGGGCGGCGCUCCAGCUCCGAUCAGCAGCAACGUGACCUGGUACGGAUUGUGCAGGAAACACAUCGACGUCCUCUAAACAAAACGCUGCAUCAUGAGAAGGCGACAGGCUGCAACAGGUUCAACCUGCAAGAGCGAAAACAUGAGGAACACGGUGACCAUAAACACAAACUGGAGAACAUUUUAAGGGAUGCCAGGAAUCUGGAGUUAUCAUAUCUGCUGCAGUUUGUUCUGCAAGAAUCAAAGAACACAGAAAAGCAUCGACUCGUUGUUCUGAUAGGAACGUUUCUGACUGAACUGAGCCUCUUCUGCUCUUUCAUAUCUGUUUAUUGUAAGUGAAACUACAAAUCACUCUGAAAGUGAUUCGAUUGAUAAAAACUGUAAUCCUGGUCCUGUUUUUAUCUUGGUUGUACAAAUUGUUGCUCCUCAUCAACAUUGUUUGGUUUGGGCAAGAACUUCUCCUGCUCUACUUCCUCCAAAGAUUGUUUUCAUGUUCAGUUAUUUUCUGAAGUUCUCAGAACAACAAAAAGAUGCUUCAGUUAA